AAUUUAUGAUGAAGAGUUUGAUCCUGGCUCAGGACGAACGCUGGCGGCGUGGAUUAGGCAUGCAAGUCGAACGCGAAAGUAUUUCUUCGGAGAUACGAGUAGAGUGGCGGACGGGUGAGUAACGCGUAGGUAUCUACCUUUAAGUGGGGGACAGCCCCGGGAAACCGGGAUUAAUACCGCAUGUGGAACUUCGGUUCUAAAGAUGGCCUCUGUUUCAAGCUAUCGCUUAGAGAUGAGCCUGCGUCCUAUUAGCUAGUUGGUAAGGUAAUGGCUU
rnacentral:rRNA from 1 species